UGACGCAGGCGCUCCACGGAAACCCUCCGAGAAUUCUGGGGGCCGUGGGGCCGCCCAGCUCAGUCCGGAGCUCCGGAACUCGGGGAAGAGCGUCCGGGAGCCGGGUCUGGGUUCCGCACUCCGUCCGCCCCGAUGGCAGAGAGUGAGAUACGGACGCCCCGGGACGAGGGGCUCAGGACCCGGCUACGGACACCUGCCUCCAUCUCCCUCCAGAUAACACAAGUGUGAAGAGAGGGGAGAGCAGCAAAGGCUGAGCUGCGUGUGCCUGGUCCCUUCCAGACUUUCCAGAUAACUUUGCCCCACGGAGGACAAGGAAAGCCAAAAGAGAGAAGCCAGGAUUGUUAGUCUUGGAAAAUGCCUCCAUAUAGAAACAUGAGCCGGAGAAUAAAUCACUUGCCUCUCUAACCAGUUGGAUUUGGUCCGUGAGUUCCUAGUUUUGUUCACCUGACUUAGUCCCUGACUUUUAAAGUCAAGUGCA
rnacentral:lncRNA from 1 species